CCUACGGGUGGCAGCAGUGGGGAAUCUUAGACAAUGGGCGCAAGCCUGAUCUAGCCAUGCCGCGUGUGUGAUGAAGGCCUUAGGGUCGUAAAGCACUUUCGCCAGGGAUGAUAAUGACAGUACCUGGUAAAGAAACCCCGGCUAACUCCGUGCCAGCAGCCGCGGUAAUACGGAGGGGGUUAGCGUUGUUCGGAAUUACUGGGCGUAAAGCGUACGUAGGCGGAUCAGAAAGUAGGGGGUGAAAUCCCAGGGCUCAACCCUGGAACUGCCUCCUAAACUCCUGGUCUUGAGUUCGAGAGAGGUGAGUGGAAUUCCAAGUGUAGAGGUGAAAUUCGUAGAUAUUUGGAGGAACACCAGUGGCGAAGGCGGCUCACUGGCUCGAUACUGACGCUGAGGUACGAAAGUGUGGGGAGCAAACAGGAUUAGAUACCCCAGUAGUC
rnacentral:rRNA from 1 species